rnacentral:lncRNA from 1 species
CAACUCUCCCUCCUCACCCAUGCAGUUCGCCCCCUGCACAUUGUUGUUUGUUUUUGGUCAACAACGACUCUAUCCACAACACAGUGUUGUGUGCCCGGCAGUGCAACUCACUUCAUCGGUGUUUUUUUGUUCAAAUGCAGGUCACUUCGUCCACAUUACAGGUGGUUCAACGGGUGACCUGCAGUUCACCCAGCGGCCACCACGAGCCCCCGACGUCCUACAUGCUGUAGUUUUGGGUUGAUGUUGAAUUGAUCGAUGCUGAAGGCCCCGUGCAGUCUGGUGUGGCGUAAGCAUGCAGUACGGGCGGUGGCGAUGUAGCUCCUGUAGUUCAUGUAUGCGGCGUGUGCGGUUUGUUUGCAGCCCAUGUGCACGAUACAUGCAGGUUGUGUGUGUGUGUGUGUCGAUGUUCUGUUCGCUGGGAAACUACAGAAGAAAAAUGAUCAAUUUUUUAAGUUCACUUUCUUCUUGAAUGUGUGAGAGAAAAUGUAAAAAUUUAUUUGUGUGAGAGAGAAAUGUCUCUCGCGCGGUUCGUGUGUGAAGUUUUGUAUGUAUUCUUUUAUUUGUAGAAAAGGUGUCUGGUUCAUUUUGUGGUGGUUGGUGCUUCACUUUGUGAAAAAAGGAGAAAAAAGUAAUUCGAAACAAAAACAUCAGAGGCACCACUUGGUAAACAGAAAAGUGCCUGGUAUGUAAAUUUAUUAAGCUCACUUUGUAAUCUCAUGUGGCUCACCUCUCGAUAGUUUUGCGGUCCACUUACGCCCGACGUGAAG